UACGUAGGCAGCAAGCGUUGUUCGGAGUUACUGGGCGUAAAGGGUGUGUAGGCGGUUCUUUAAGUUUGGUGUGAAAUCUCCCGGCUCAACCGGGAGGGUGCGCCGAAUACUGAGGAGCUAGAGUGCGGGAGAGGAAAGUGGAAUUCCUGGUGUAGCGGUGAAAUGCGUAGAUAUCGGGAAGAACACCCGUGGCGAAGGCGGCUCUCUGGGACGGUACUGACGCUGAGACGCGAAAGCGUGGGGAGCGAACAGG
rnacentral:rRNA from 1 species